rnacentral:rRNA from 1 species
UACAGAGGCCUCGAGCGUUAGGCGGAAUCACUGGGCUUAAAGCGUGUGUAGGUGGAUGCCUAAGUACCUUGUGAAAUCCCACGGCUUAACCGUGGAAUGGCUGGGUAUACUGGGUGUCUUGAGCCACUCAGGGGCUACCGGAACAAAUGGUGGAGCGGUGAAAUGCGUAGAGAUCAGGAGGAAUACCAAUGGCGAAGGCAGUGCUCUGGGCUAACACUGACGCUGAGGUGCGAAAGCGUGGGUAGCGAACGGG